UUUAUCACUGUAAAGUAAUUAAAAUAUAACUGACGAUAUUUAGUACUGGAUAUACACAAAAAUAGAAUAAAUCAGGAUUUAUUUUUUCACAGCACUGUACACCAGCAUUUAUGUUUAGUGUGACAUUAAUGUGUGAAAAUUGAAUUUUUUUUAGUGUGUGAUUGCUAUUUUCAGGAAAAUGCACUGGUAACAACUAAAAUAAAGAAGACCAAAAAUAUAAUUCAACAGAAGAUGAUGGCUGUGCUGAAACAAGCACUCAAAUAAUGGAACUAAGACCUGUGGGAGUGCUGGAGAAAUCAAGUGUAUAAGUCCUCUGUCGUCUCAGCCAUGGAAGAGAUCUUCAGACAUGAAGAGAUUGAGUCAAAGAGCUAAAAGAAAAUGUACAAUAUUAGUGCCAAUUCAGCAUGAAAACAGAGAGAGAUCUGAGGGAGUGGAAAGAAAUGCGUGUUAUUGUGCAAGGGGUAGCUGCAUGGACUAUCAGUGGAGGGACAGAAACCUCUGAGAUUUCACUAUAAAGAUCUUCAUUUGUGUUCUGAAGAUGAACGAAAGACUUGCUGGUUUGGAACGAUAUGAGGACUACAUCAAAAAUAGUGUUUCCACAUCUGAGAUGAAGGCAGUCAUAAGAACCAAGCGGAACGAUGAGGAUAAGCUCACCAAAAAAUGAAACCUGUCUGAAUAAUGAGGGAAGAAAUGUGCAUGAUUGCGUGAUUUGUAAAUAAACACUAAAUACAUUUAGUGUAACUCAGCCUGUUAUUUUAAGUUUAAAGAAAAGUAAAAUAAUUUGUUGCAUUGCUGUUUGAGACAUUCACUG